rnacentral:rRNA from 1 species
CCUACGGGAGGCAGCAGUGAGGAAUAUUGGUCAAUGGACGAGAGUCUGAACCAGCCAAGUAGCGUGAAGGAUGACUGCCCUAUGGGUUGUAAACUUCUUUUAUAUGGGAAUAAAAUGUUCCACGUGUGGGAUUUUGUAUGUACCAUAUGAAUAAGGAUCGGCUAACGCCGUGCCAGCAGCCGCGGUAAUACGGAGGUUCCGAGCGUUAUCUGGAUUUAUUGGGUUUAAAGGGAGCGUAGGUGGAUUGUUAAGUCAGUUGUGAAAGUUUGCGGCUCAACCGUAAAAUUGCAGUUGAAACUGGCAGUCUUGAGUACAGUAGAGGUGGGCGGAAUGCGUGGUGUAGCGGUGAAAUGCUUAGAGAGCACGAAGAACUCCGAUUGCGAAGGCAGUUCACUGGACUGCAACUGACACUGAGGCUCGAAAGUGUGGGUAUCAAACAGGAUGAGAUACCCCUGUAGUC